GACUGCUUACCAUCAGGCGGGCCGUAUGCUUGUUUGCCACCGUCGUGGUAUAAAAAAAAAUGUUCCGAAAAACUCAUUGGUACGAGCCGGGGUUUGAACCCACGACCUCCGGAUUGCAAGUCGCACGCUCUUACCGCUAGGC